rnacentral:rRNA from 1 species
GACGAACGCUGGCGGCGUGCCUAACACAUGCAAGUCGAACGAGGUCCAAGGGAGCUCGCUCCCUGAAGACCUAGUGGCGAACGGGUGAGUAACACGUGAGAAACCUGCCCUCGAGUGGGGAAUAACCCGGGGAAACCCGGGCUAAUACCGCAUACGCUCCUCUGGUCGCAUGGCCGGAGGAGGAAAGUUUUUCGCUCAAGGAGGGUCUCGCGGCCUAUCAGCUGUUUGGCGGGGUAACGGCCCACCAAGGCUACGACGGGUAGCUGGUUUGAGAGAACGAUCAGCCACACUGGGACUGAGACACGGCCCAGACUCCUACGGGAGGCAGCAGUGGGGAAUCUUGCGCAAUGGGCGAAAGCCUGACGCAGCAACGCCGCGUGCGGGAUGACGGCCUUCGUGGUUGUAAACCGCUUUCAGCAGGGACGAAAAUGACGGUACCUGCAGAAGAAGCUCCGGCUAACUACGUGCCAGCCGCCGCCGUAA